CAGCUCACUACACCCCAGCCAACAGGUGGGUCUGCCUUCUCACCAGGUGGUACCAGCUUUCAACCCUAGCUCUGGGACAGGCUUCUACUAAAUCCUUGUAGACACUUCUGAUGUCUCAACUCCCCUCUGCCUGACCCAUUUGAGAUUUCUUGUUGCUUGAAGAAUCUUUAAAUGUUGCCCUCCUCCCUUGGCUCCCUGAGACUCUGCAUUUGAGAUUGUUUCAUACUCCGAAUAUAACAUCAAAGUUAAACUCCUGACCAUUGCCCUUCCCUACUCUCAACAGGACCACCAUUUAUUUCUCAGUUUUCCUUAACACCUACAUGGUCAAUUCUUGCUUACCUUCUAUAUUUGGUAAUAAUGAGAAAGAUUUCAUUUAUAGACCUGUAUUAGUUUUUUUUUCCCUGUCCCUAUGACAAAAUACCAGAGGCUAUUUAAUGUAUAAAGCAAAAAAAGUUCACUAAGCUCCAUUUUGGAGGCUGAACGUGCAAGAUUGGACAGUCCCCUUGGUUUGGCCCUUGUCGAGGGCCCUCUUGUCUCUCUCACAUCAUGGUGGAUAGUAUCAUGGUAGGAGUGUGUGUGAGAGGGAGAGAUCACAGAUGAGUCAGGAAGUGGCCAGUCUUGCUCUUUUAUAACAGUCCCCUCCCAGGAGAACUAACUGGGGUCCCACAGGAACUCUACUAAUCUCUUCUGAGGACAAUUCUCCCAAUGACCUAAUCACCUUACACUAAGUUUCUACCACCUUCAUAUCCCCACCCUGGGGACCGAACUUCUGACCCAUGAAACCACUUAGAUACAGGUAUCCUGAACCUAUUUCAGGGCCUUGGGUGACCUUUAUGAAACUCACUAAGGUUCUUGACUUCCUGUGAGGCCCAUGCCUGUCCCCUACCGCAGCUCUGAGACCAGAACUCUUCCUGGGACUCUGUGGUGAGACUCUACUUUGGAAACCAGACAAAGGCAACCUCUGCAACCGAUUGGUCCAGGGCCAUUUACGGUGGGGCAGUUGGAACACGGGACUCCAACGAGACAAGGCCUGCUCAGUCCUCAACACAGGCUCAGC
rnacentral:lncRNA from 1 species